GACGUAGGGGGCAAGCGUUAUUCGGAAUUAUUGGGCGUAAAGCGCACGUAGGCGGUUCGUUAUGUCGGAUGUGAAAGCCCUUGGCUUAACCGAGGAAGUGCAUCCGAAACUGGCGAGCUAGAGUACUAAAGAGGAUCGCGGAAUUCCCGGUGUAGAGGUGAAAUUCGUAGAUAUCGGGAGGAACACCGGUGGCGAAGGCGGCGAUCUGGGUAGAUACUGACGUUCAGGCACGAAAGCGUGGGGAGCAAACAGG
rnacentral:rRNA from 1 species